AAAUGGAAGGCACGAUAUCGACCGAGUACAUUUCUCCCGGCUAUUAUUCCGAGCAAAGCUCGGCCUUGCACUAUCUUUGCCAACUCUGGCCAAGCCUAUUUAUAGGGGAAGCUUUGAAAGUCGACGUCCAGGUCACGCCGGACCCUGAACGCCGAAAUACUCGCGCCGCGAGUGCAUUGGACAGUGUCUUCGCCCUCUUUGCGAUCGACCAUUGCCAGAAGCUGACGUAACGAGGAAAACGAUAUCAGGGAGGUUCUUUGCCGCUGGAAGGCUCAUGGUCGACGGUGCCAGAAGCAGCGAACGACACAGCUCGAUAAUAAAGACGAAAAUAAUCGGACCGACUCGACCCAUUAAACCGGCCGCCUCGGGGCCAACAGUUUCAUUAAGCGUUUAAUCGUGGAAGAUAUGCGCAUGCGACCUAGUGAAAUCAUUCUCGAAUCUGGAAGAGAUAUGUCGUACACGUAUGACUUCAUUUCGCGUGGAUUCUCAGGUGUAUCGACCUCCAUCUACUGUAAUCUGUACAAGUAACCUGGAUACACCGGGACUAAUCGAUUGUAACCUAAAAGAGAUUCAAAGUUGAUGGAGAAUUAGUGAGAAGGACAUUUUGUUUUUGGGUCUUAAGGACGUGUAAAGUGAAUGUGAAUCAAACUGUAAUUUGAAUUGAUUUAGAAAGAAUAAAUACUAGUUGUUGUUUUUACGUAGUUGGGUCUGAAGUUAACUUACAAUCUUAGACCUAACCUUGCAAGGUUAUGUUAUGUUUUGGGUCUGAAACUUAAGGACAUGCAAACUUAACCUAAAAGUGAUUCAAGACCAUUCAUGACGUGGAUUUAAUUACAGAAAGCAAACUUUAGCUAUGAUUUUUGUACAGUCUGAAGUUAACUUACAUCCAGACCUAACCUUGCAAGGUUACGUUAUCAUGUUCUGAGCCUUAACCUCGAUAACAUGGAAGCUUAACCUAAAAGUGAUUCAAGACCAUUCAUGACGUGGAUUUAAUUACAGAAAGCAAACUUUAGCUAUGAUUUUUGUACAGUCUGAAGUUAACUUACAUCCAGACCUAACCUUGCAAGGUUACGUUAUCAUGUUCUGAGCCUUAACCUCGAUAACAUGGAAGCUUAACCUAAAAGUGAUUAAAGACCAUUCAUGACGUGGAUUUAAUUACAGAAAGCAAACCUUAGCUAUGAUUUUUGUACAGUCUGAAGUUAACUUACAUCCAGACCUAACCUUGCGAGGUUACGUUACUAUGUUCUGAGUUUUAACCGUGAUAACAUGGAAGCUUAACCUAAAAGUGAUUCAAGACCAUUCAUGACGUGGAUUUAAUUACAGAAAGCAAACUUUAGCUAUGUUUUUUGUACAGUCUGAAGUUAACUUACAUCCAGACCUAACCUUGCGAGGUUACGUUACUAUGUUCUGAGUCCUAACCUUGAGACCAUAGUAACUUAACCUGAAUGUAAUUCAAGACCAUACGCGUAUUUAAUUACAGAAAACUUUAACUCCAAUUUUUGUACAGUCUGAAGUUAACUUAGACAUAAGAUCGAAACCUAACCUCGAACAAAGCCAAAACAAGAUGACCAAAGACAAACAUAAAAAGUUUCAAGAUAAACUUACAACCUAACCUAACCUUGUAAGGUUCAAUAUCGAAACCUAACCUCGAACAAAGCCAAAACAAGAUGACCAAAGACAAAAAGUUUCAAGAUAAAUGAAAAGUUAUUUGAAACAACCGGGCCACAGGGAAAAUGACGUAACCGAAGAUAAGGAACCAUGUAAUUACCGGUUUCAGUUCCAGGUGACUGUAGCUAUCCGGCGAGCGAUCGAAGGAAUUUCAAGUUAAUGACAGAGGUCCAGGCGAAAUAACAAUCGCGUGUUCAUCGGUUGAAACCUGAACCGGCUUCGGAAUUAACGAUUAGGAAAUGAACGCGACGGGGAGUCGCGGAAAUUCGAAGUACCCGAAGGAAGAGGAGGCGAUUGUGUUUCAAGGAUCGGUGUAACGCUUCGAAUAAAGCCGAGAGAGGACGGUACGAGAUACCAGUCGGCGAAAGGUGGGAGUGGCAAGCAAGGGUCGCGUAAAAGCCAAGGUAAAACGGAGUUAAAUUAAUCUUAAGCCCACACUCUACGCGAGAACGAUGUUUCUUGAGGAACUCGAUUCUGGUCAUUGCGCUCGAGUUAAUUUCGAUCCGAAGAUUCGAUCUUUCAAGUCUGAGACAAAUUUUUUUAUCUCUGUGAGCUUCAGGUACUUGCUCUUGGGCCAAUUUUAUAAAUCGUUACGGUGACUCUUGCUAGACUCGAUUGCACCAAGUCUACCAUUUCUUUUUCGAAUCUCUGGAACCAGGUUGGUAUACUAUAAAAUCCCCAGUGGAUGUCCAGAAAAAUCACUAUACACUACCGU